UUGCCUCUGUCCAGGUGAGAGCCGCCUCUGCUCCUCCUCUCAGCUCCACCUUCACUCUCACCAGGGACUCUGUGUCACUGCCCCAGCCCUCUUGCCUGCUGGGGAGGGCUCUACAGACAUCUCCCAGGACUUCUGAUACAUGGAGGGGAAUGUACACUGUGCUCCGGCUGCUGCUCACAGUAACAGAAGAUCUGUCCGAUAACUGAGGUGAUCGGGGCUCAUCACUCUGCGAACUCGCCAAUAGUGCCAGUGGUGGCUGGGGUGACACUGCCGAAAUGCGUCGCCUGGGUGGGGAUGAUGGAGCCGCAGAUUCCGUGCCAAGACGCCGUGUCUUACUUGGCCUCCUGGAAUAUGUGACUACAGUGAAGUCUUGCCUGCAAUCCCAGCCUCAUCCUGACUUGUCUGAGGCCUGUCUGGCCGGCUGGUCUGUGGGACUGUUGAAAAAGUGGACCAAACAUUAUUACCAUGCUUUGUGUAAAAAUUAUAACUGCAAAGCCUUAGUGUAC